rnacentral:tRNA from 1 species
GCCUGGGUGGCUCAGUCGGCUGAGCUCUUGAUUUCAGCUCGGGUCACUAUCUCAUGGUUUGUGGGUUCGAACUCCACCUCAGGAG